GUCAGUAUUGUGUAGUGGUUUGAGUGUUGGACUAUGAUUCUGAAGAUUAGGGUUCGAUUCCCUGUUUGACC
rnacentral:tRNA from 1 species